UUGAUGCUGCAGCAGGAGCCUGAUGUGGUGGCUGUGGGAUGGGUCACCUGGGCCCCCUGAAGUCUCCGCCCCCUUGAUGCUGGCAGCCAGCAGCUGGCUUUUCCACCGCAGCUCUUUUGCCAUCCCAGUAUUAAAGAAAGAGAGAGGAAAUACACCAAAUCUCCUAUUGAAGUAGAUACUUAUGGCUUCUUUUUCUUCCCCUUAAAAUGUUUCUAAAAAAUUAAAAAAUAACAAUAAAAAAGAAAGGAAGGAAGGAAGGAGAAAGAAACAAAGGAAAACAUUUUAGUUGCAGUUGAAAUGCCUCCCCAACCUCUCCCCAAAGCACUGCUGCAGUGGACACCCUUGUAUAUAUCUCCUUCUGCUCCUGUCUGCACGGCAUGCACCUGAAGAGAGAACUGAUUCCCUGAAGGGUACGAGCAUCUUCUACAUUAGCAGAUGUUGCAAAACUGCUCUUCUAAGCGGCUGUGCAAAUUUACUUCCCAUUGGAAUCCUUUCUUGGUUGAAAUAUGAAUUGCACAUGUGUCCUGUUCAUUCUCCUGAUUCUUUCUGGCGGCUGUGGCUGUCCCUCUCGUUGGCGUGGCAACAACAGAGGCUUGGGUUUGGACUUGGGGCUGGAGAUGAAGACGUAGCUUUUCCAU
rnacentral:lncRNA from 1 species